rnacentral:lncRNA from 1 species
CUGUAGCAACUGGAUUGUCUAUUCACCCCUAUAGUUCCACAACACAAUGAAACUCUAGACUACUACAUGUACGAUGUUAUGAAAUAUUUACAUAUACUACAUGUACAUCUACAUGAUCAAUUUUGAAGAUUGUUUUUGCCAGGUGUAAUCAUGUCAACUAGUACAACAAGUUUUGAUUCAGCUUUCUGACAGGAAUUAUUUAUAAACUUGCCAGCAGUUACAACAAAUGAAUAUUAUUAAUUGAGUUAAAAAUUAAGCUCAUUUGGACAGUGAAGUGAUUUUGACGCGUAUUGAAGUAGACAUUAAACAUGUUAAACGUUUCAAAUUGAUAUCGAAUUAUGUGUAAAUGCAGCAUUGAUUUAUUUAAGAAAUUAAGAAUAAAGAAAUAUUAAAAAAAGAUGGAGAAAAUAUUUGUAUUAAAUUUGUUGGAAUUUUUGUCUUGCCAAAGAUGACAGAGUCAAAAAGAGAGGCAUACAUGUAUAUAUAGUUGUGUUGUUUUGUCAG